rnacentral:rRNA from 1 species
CAGUAGCCGCGGGAAUACGUAGGUGGCAAGCGUUGUCCGAAAUUAUUGGGCGUAAAGGGCUCGCAGGCGGUUUCUUAAGUCUGAUGUGAAAGCCCCCGGCUCAACCGGGGAGGGUCAUUGGAGACUGGGAAACUUGAGUGCAGAAGAGGAGAGUGGAAUUCCACGUGUAGCGGUGAAAUGCGUAGAGAUGUGGAGGAACACCAGUGGCGAAGGCGACUCUCUGGUCUGUAACUGACGCUGAGGAGCGAAAGCGUGGGGAGCGAACAGGAUUAGAUACCCCCGUAGUCCCUGUCUCUUAUAU